rnacentral:rRNA from 1 species
GGUGAACCUGCGGAAGGAUCAUUAUCGAGUUUUGAACGGGUUGUCUGCUGGCUCGCAAGGGCAUGUGCACGCCUGUCUCAUCCACUCUCAACUUCUGUGCACUUUUCAUAGGCCGGCUUGUGGGUGCGUUCGCGCACUUGUAGGUGUCGGGCUUAUGCUUUACUACAAACGAUUCAGUUUUAGAAUGUCAUACUUUGCUAUAACGCAAUUUAUAUACAACUUUCAGCAACGGAUCUCUUGGCUCUCGCAUCGAUGAAGAACGCAGCGAAAUGCGAUAAGUAAUGUGAAUUGCAGAAUUCAGUGAAUCAUCGAAUCUUUGAACGCACCUUGCGCUCCUUGGUAUUCCGAGGAGCAUGCCUGUUUGAGUCUCAUGGAAUUCUCAACCUUCGGCUUUAUUGACGAAGGCUUGGACUUGGAGGUCGUGCCGGCUCUCGUAGUCGGCUCCUCUGAAAUGCAUUAGUGCGAAUGUUACCAGCCGCUUCAGCGUGAUAAUUAUCUGCGUUGCUGUGGAGGGUAUUCUAGUGUUCGCGCUUCUAACCGUCUUCGGACAAAUUUCUGAACUCUGAGCUC